rnacentral:rRNA from 1 species
AGUCGAGCGGUAGAGAGGAGCUUGCUCCUCUUGAGAGCGGCGGACGGGUGAGUAAUGCCUAGGAAUCUGCCUGGUAGUGGGGGAUAACGUUCGGAAACGGACGCUAAUACCGCAUACGUCCUACGGGAGAAAGCAGGGGACCUUCGGGCCUUGCGCUAUCAGAUGAGCCUAGGUCGGAUUAGCUAGUUGGUGAGGUAAUGGCUCACCAAGGCGACGAUCCGUAACUGGUCUGAGAGGAUGAUCAGUCACACUGGAACUGAGACACGGUCCAGACUCCUACGGGAGGCAGCAGUGGGGAAUAUUGGACAAUGGGCGAAAGCCUGAUCCAGCCAUGCCGCGUGUGUGAAGAAGGUCUUCGGAUUGUAAAGCACUUUAAGUUGGGAGGAAGGGCAGUAAAUUAAUACUUUGCUGUUUUGACGUUACCGACAGAAUAAGCACCGGCUAACUCUGUGCCAGCAGCCGCGGUAAUACAGAGGGUGCAAGCGUUAAUCGGAAUUACUGGGCGUAAAGCGCGCGUAGGUGGUUUGUUAAGUUGGAUGUGA